AGAGACCUGACUGUUGUCUCACAGAACAUUCAUGCUGAACCUGUUGAAACAUCUGCUCAUCAACUUCAUCCUGUUCAGCUUCACAUUUUGAGUCGUCUUGUUUAGAUAUACUAAGACCUGUGAGUAUGUAAAUCUUUUAAGAAGAUUUUUACAGAACUUUAUUACAUUUUCAUUUUAGGAAAAUAAUUUACCAGCCAAGAAAACAGCCAAAGAAGUCAAGGAACAACAAAAUGUAUCCAGCAAAACAGCCAACCAUUGGAGAUGAAAGCCAGCCAUCCAGCAAGCCAGCCACACAGUCUAAAAGCUGAGGGUUAUCCUGCAAGUCAGUGCCACUUGCCAAAACACCAUAAUUCAAUCCACCGGUUAACCAACCUACAAAGUAGUCAAGCCAGUCACAGAAGUCACAGGAGAUGACAGCGCCCUGAUUACAGCCAUCAUGACUGAACAAGGAAGAGACGAAGAGCAGAAGAGAAGAUUACAGAGGACCAGUGGGCAAGGGCAGCAGAGGGCUCACAGCAGAUACAUACAGGUGCAGACAGGACGUGUCCAUGUGAUCCAGACUCCCACCAUGACAAGUCCUGUAUGAUUCCCACCAUGACAAGUCCUGUAUGACUCCCACCAUGACGAGUCCUGUAUGACUCCCACCAUGACAAGUCCUAUAUGAGUUCCACCAUGACGAGUCCUGUAUGAGUUCCACCAUGACGAGUCCCACCAUGACGAGUCCUGUAUGGAGUGUGUCUUUUUUUUCUGACCCAUGAGUUGAGAUUCAGCCGUUGUUGGUCAGAAGAGCAUCACAGAGAUGACAGCCUCUUGUGAGUGUCUAAAAAGGAGAAGUAAUGCUCCAUGGACGUCCUGUCCUCAGGAAGUUAGCUCUCUGUCAUGACACGUUGAAGAAUGAGAUGUCAUGUACCUGUUGUUGAGGACAUGCCCUAGUGCCAUGAAGACAUGGACACUGUGUGGAUCCAGACACCAUGCCGUGUGUUGUUGAAUAAAUACGACAACACAGCCUGCGAUGUGUUUCAUACAGGAAGUGUCAGUGGGUGUGGAGAGGCCAAGAUGAGGUGUAAAUCACAGCCACGUGCAUGCAGGUUCUUCCCUACACCUCUACUGCACCUUUAUUUGAGGAUUUCAGUAGAAAGUAGAACCAGAUGUUGAUGUUUUAUCACGAACAAACGUGUACUUAUUCAAACAAUAUUUGUGAUUUUGCAAAUAAACUUUGCUGUAUUUUAUAC